rnacentral:piRNA from 1 species
UAUUUGGGUGAUAGAGAGUCUUCAUGAUACUC